GCCUGGGUGGCUCAUUUAGUUAGCAUCUGACUUUGGCUCAGGUCAUGAUCUCGCGGCUCGUGGGUUCGAGCCCUGCCUUGGGCU
rnacentral:tRNA from 1 species